rnacentral:tRNA from 1 species
UGCACCGUUGGCUCAACUGGAUAGAGCAUCUGACUUCGGAUCAGAGGGUUAUGGGUUCGAAUCCUAUACGGUGCGU